GAUGAACGCUAGCGGCAGGCUUAACACAUGCAAGUCGAGGGGCAGCAUUGUGAGUAGCAAUACUUACAGAUGGCGACCGGCGCAAGGGUGCGUAACGCGUGAGCAACAUGCCCGUAACAGGGGGAUAAUCCAGGGAAACUUGGUCUAAUACCGCAUAAUAUCAAUUAGAGGCAUCUUUGAUUGAUUAAAAUUCGAUGGUUACGGAUUGGCUCGCGUGACAUUAGCUAGAUGGAGAGGUAACGGCUCACCAUGGCGACGAUGUCUAGGGGAACUGAGAGGUUUAUCCCCCANACUGGUACUGAGACACGGACCAGACUCCUACGGGAGGCAGCAGUAAGGAAUAUUGGGCAAUGGAGGCAACUCUGACCCAGCCAUGCCGCGUGAAGGAUGGAGGCCCUACGGGUCGUAAACUUCUUUGUCAGGGAAUAAAGUCGCCCACGUGUGGGCGUUUGCAGGUACCUGAAGAAUAAGCAUCGGCUAACU
rnacentral:rRNA from 1 species